CUGAAAAGGCUGCUUCCUUCCUGCAACGUGGAGAGCUAUAACUCACCAGUGCCGGUUAGUGCUAUAGGGCAGGUCAUGGCAUGUGGGCAUAGCUGCGGUCUGUGUGCUCUGUAUUGAGGCAAGGCUAGUUGAACCAGUCUGUCCGUCCAUUGCUGGGAACCAGGAGUGAGUUAUGUGUAAGUGUGUGUGUGUGUGUGUGUGUGUGUGUGUGAUGAUAGAUUUGGAGGGCACCAUAUGCUGUGCGAACAUAUUUUGUUGUUUUUGUCACUUCCUCUCUGCAGGAUAACAGUUCUUUUUUGUUGAGGUUGUAAAGGAGUAACACCUAAUGCUAAGGUGUGUGGUGAAUGUGGAAAGGUGUGAGGGUUUCAUUUAGGCAGUUUUUUUGAUCAAUUUUGUGUAUGAUGUUCUGGUGAAAGUUGUUUGCUCUGGCUUAAGCCUUUUGUGUCGCUGUGACAAUCUUGCAAGAGGUGCAAAGGCUUGUUCUCACCUUCGCAGCGAUGUAUCUGGCGGCACAAAUCUUGAUGUUCAGUUACCUGUAAAUGGUCCACGUGGAGAGCUCCACAAAGCAGCGUAGCGUUUGACCACACCAUGUGCGGCCCCUUAGGAAUGCAAGCAUCUUGGAGUGCAAGCCGCAACAGGUUUAACCCACAUCGCCCUGUCAUCUGUGAGUGGGCAGUAAGAACCAGAAGGUCACUCUGAUGGAACUACAGAGGUCCUGCACAAGUGGACAAAUCCUAAAUUUUCUAGCGAUGCCAGAGAAAAAAUGAAAGCUCCAGUGUGCACAGAAAUGGACUAAUCUAAAGAGUGGUAGCUAAGGGUCACAGGGAGCCUGGAGCCUAUCCCAGUGGACUUGGGGCACAAGGCAGGGGGACACCCUGGAUGUCAGGUGCCAACCCAUUGUAGGGCACAAUCUCACACACACUACAGACAAUUUGGAAAUCAAUCUUUGGACUGGCGGAGGAAACCCGAGUACUCAGAGCACAAGGAGAACAUGCAAAGUCUGCGCACACAGGGCGGAGGUGGGAUUCGAACCCCCAAUCCUGAAGGUGCGAGGCAAAUGUGCUAACCACUAAGCCAUGAUUAUUAUCCAUUUAAGUUUCUAAAGUAGCACAUUGUAUGUGUACUGUACCGUUAAUAAACAGUCAACUAAUCUUUUGCGAAUGUUCUGUGGCUCCAUACAAGUUUGAACUCUUUAGCAUGAAUGCCAAGUGCUACAUCAACAGAUCAUAACACAUAGGCAUCUUUGUAGAAAAAAAAAGUGAUCAGAACCUCACACAUGGUCGAAAGUUAACCUUUAGACAACAGAAACACACAGAGAAGACACGACUAUGAUCAUCCUUGAGUGGUCUAGACGGAGCUUGGUUUUUACCCAGUUGAAUGUUUCUGG
ensembl:lncRNA